rnacentral:rRNA from 1 species
AAUGAACGCUGGCGGCAUGCCUAACACAUGCAAGUCGAACGGGACCACCGGAACAGGUUGCGCUUACGGGCGGCGAGCGGGGGAACGGGCAGGUAUACACCGGAUACCUCCUUGUCGUGGGGGCUAACGCCGGGAAACUUACGCUAAUACCGGAUUCAUCCCCCGUGGGUAAGCCCGGGAUGGAUGAGCUAGGUGGGGGGGUAAGAGCCUAUGAAGGCGACGAUCCGUAGCUGGGCUGAGGGGCUGAUCAGCCACACUGGGACUGAGACACGGUCCAGACUCCUACGGGAGGCAGCAGUGGGGAAUAUUGGACAAUGGGCGCAAGCCUGAUCCAGCCAUACCGCGUGGGUGAAGAAGGCCUUCGGGUUGUAAAGCCCUUUUGUUGGGAAAGAAAAGCAGCAGGUUAAUACCCCGCUGUUCUGACGGUACCCAAAGAAUAAGCACCGGCUAACUUCGUG